rnacentral:tRNA from 1 species
GUCCCAGUAGCUCAGUGGUUAGAGCAUCUGACUAGAAUACGGAAGGUUGUGGGUUCAAAUCCCAUCUGGAGCC